rnacentral:lncRNA from 1 species
AUGAUCCUGUUUAAAUUAACGGGCUGCAGUUUGGGACGGCGCUCAUCUGAAGGAAAACAGUGCAGCCCCAGGCUGGGCAGACGGCUGCUGGCUCCGCCUACCACUUCCAUGGGGAGGGCCAGGGAGGCCAGCCGCAACUCCGGCCCCACGAGGGAUGGGGGUUGCAGCCCCUGGAUAGAGGACAAGGCUGCCAGGGCCCAAACAACAGAGCCCUGCAUAAGGGUCUCUGGGUCCUGGUCCCAGGGUGUGAGACUAGCUGGGGAGCCCCAGGCUCAGUGGUAUUCUGUCCUUACAGCCAUUCUGUCCCUCCCAUGGCUGAACUCUUCCCAGGAUGAGACGCUGGGUGUGACAUGGGCAGCCUCAGGUCCUCCCGGGACCCACAGGCAGGUACAGGGAUGCAGACUCCGGCCUCGGAGCCCGAACGAGGGAGAUGAGAAAGGGGAGUCUGUGAUGUCCUUGCCUACACAGAUGGAAAGACACAGUCAGCUCAGAAAGGGCCGUUUGGAGUCGAGCCCACCUGUGGGGUGUGGGAAGGAGGGUGCUUCAUAUACAUGUCCACUGCCACUGGGGUCAGGGCCACCCUUCCAGGUCAAGGGGAGAAUGAGGACCAGCUUCUGGUGUCCCUGCUUGCAGGGAACGCCUGCAAGCUCCUUGCAACACAGAGCCAGGCGCUGUGACCCCCUCGCGUCCCUCUCCACUCCGACCCAUCACAGCCGGCGUGGGCAGGUACUCUCUCACCCUAUGCUCCUGAUGAGUACACUGAGGCUCCAGGGGGCCCCCUCCCUCCACACCACCCCCCAAACACCUCCCCAGGCAGCCAGCAGGGUCCAGUGUGUCAAUGGAGGAAGCCAAGGCAGGAAGAGGGUGGGGGGGGGGCAAAUGAACUGGCGCAGCAGUGCCCUGGAGAUAGCAGCAGCACAGAUCCGGCCGGGCAGCUGGAAUCCCACCACCCACUCAGCUGUGGGCACAGCCAAUGAUGGCAUAAGCCAGCCUGAGGCCAGAGCCACGAUGCACAGUGGAUGGGCUCAGGACCCGGAGCCCCUGUACUCCCACAGCUGUGACGUUCCCUGGGCAAGGGCUUGCCCCAGCACUGGCCUCAUUCCUGCCUCAACCAGAAGGAAGAACUGGCUUCCGCCCCUGCCUGGACACAAAGCCCUUUCCGAGGUGGCCUCACAGGACCCAGCCUGUCUUCAGAUCAUGGAGCUGCUAAGGUUAGGAACGCCAGCCGGGCCAGGGCUGGGCCUCGGGAGGACCCUGCCCACCUCAGCCCCAGAUGUAGCCCUUCUCCCGCCACCGGUGCCUGGGCACCCCGGCCCCUGGGCGAGGACAGCUGCCAAGCCAUGA